UACAGAGGGGGCAAGCGUUGUUCGGAAUUACUGGGCGUAAAGGGCGCGUAGGCGGCCCGCUAAGUCGAACGUGAAAUCCCCGAGCUCAACUCGGGAACUGCGUCCGAUACUGGCGGGCUUGAAUCCGGGAGAGGGAUGCGGAAUUCCAGGUGUAGCGGUGAAAUGCGUAGAUAUCUGGAGGAACACCGGUGACGAAGGCGGCAUCCUGGACCGGCAUUGACGCUGAGGCGCGAAAGCUAGGGGAGCAAACGGG
rnacentral:rRNA from 1 species